AGCUGCGCUGUGUGCACAGAGCGAACUAUUCUUUCGGCUUUUACUAAAGAAUACCGUGUGCACGCCGCAUUUAAUUGCAUAUGCCACUUUUUGGAAGGCUCAGCCUUUACAGGCU